rnacentral:rRNA from 1 species
AUUGAACGCUAGCGGGAUGCCUUACACAUGCAAGUCGAACGGCAGCGCGGACUUCGGUCUGGCGGCGAGUGGCGAACGGGUGAGUAAUGUAACGGAACGUGCCCAGUAGCGGGGGAUAACUACUCGAAAGAGUAGCUAAUACCGCAUACGCCCUACGGGGGAAAGGGGGGGAUCGCAAGAUCUCUCACUAUUGGAGAGGCCGAUAUCGGAUUAGCUAGUUGGUGAGGUAAAGGCUCACCAAGGCGCCGAUCCGUAGCUGGAUUGAGAGGACGACCGGCCACACUGGGACUGAGACACGGCCCAGUCUCCUACGGGAGUCAGCAGUGUGGAAUUUUGGGCAAUGGGGGCAAACCUGAUCCAGCCAUUCAGAGUGUGCGAUGAAGGCCUUCGGGUUGUAAAGCACUUUUGGCAGGAAAGAAAUCGCACGGAUUAAUACUCUGUGUGGAUGACGGUACCUGCAGAAUAAGCACCGACUAACUACGUGCCAGCCGCCGCGGUAA